UGCCUUAUAUCAUAAGAACUUUAGUAGAUGAGUAAAAUUCUGUCUUUAUUUUCCCUGUAUUAUGCCUGUUGCCAUGGUAACCAUCAAAUCAACAUUUUGCCUGAAUAUGUGAAAAAGACCCUUUUUGAAAAUAUAAAAUAAGGGAAUUUAAAGUCCCAUAGAAAUAUAGUUAAUCAAUACAAACAAUAUGUAUAUUUACAGUAUUGACAAACAAAACCCCAAACUAUACAAA
rnacentral:lncRNA from 1 species